CACACAGCCCCACUGGUCUAUGGCCAGAGCCUGGCUUUCCUCUCUUCCAGGUACUUGAGAGUAAAAGCUUUAUCUGAAAUGAGGAGGGGAAAACAUUUGAAUUACAAUGGCCUGGACAGAUUUAAUACAAAAGGCGUCGGUUCUUCUGGGGCUGGUACACUAAUAUACCACACAGGAAGCACUCUGGCCAGAGCAAUAAUAAAGACUAGAUCUUCAGGAAUUGCCCAUUUGACAGAAGAACAGAUUGACCAUAACGCAUACCCACCACGGAGGUUCUACAGUCUUGGAGACCAGCACGCUAUGGGAAUACACAAUGCUUGUAUGCCAGUGUGUUUGUUCCAUUGAUUCAUACUGGAUUUGCACUGGGAAGCUUCCCUGUCCUGCACACCCACCUCUUAAAGACCAGGCUGUAGAAGCACAAAUCUAUCAUCUGUGGAGGCUGCCUCCAUCAUGGGUUGGUACUGCAGGGUGCCGGACUCUGAAUUGCACAGAACAGGGCCAGCACACGGAGGAGCUAUUGAUGCUUUCCAGUUUCUGAGUUCCAUGGGACCCUGAACUCAGCAUGAGCCAGAAACCACUGCCUCCUGAAGAGGCUGAGCACUGCUGACAGAUGGCAUUUUGCCUGCUUUAAAGGUAGCAUCUCUUGGCUCUUGCUCAGUUUAUACUUAUGCGCUUAACUUCUAACCUGGAAAGUAAAAUGUCAUUUGACAUGCUGCCUUUGAAAGACUCCAGACACCAAGUCUACUUCAGUAAUUGCUGGAGCAGCCAAGAUAGCAGCCAUCUUUCAAGCCUGUAAUAUCAGCUCAUUCUCAAAGGGAGAAGAACACUUCCUUUACUGCUGGUAGCAUAAUUCUCCAGAGGAAUGACAGGAUCAUUCAUAUAAUCCUAACCUCUCAGCCUUCCUUCCAGCAUUGGACAUCAAGUGAAGAUGAUAAGGUUUUAUCUCCUCUAAUGCCUUGGGAAAGUAGUGCAAGAAGAGUUAGGAGGGAAGCAGAGCUUGUGUCCUAACUCCUUCAGGACUCUGUAUGACUGCAGUGUCUGACAGCUGUUCAACAAAAUUGAUUAAAGUAAAUGACAUUACAAUUCACCUCCAAGAUAAGCCAGAAUAUUAACCCUCAAAGAUACUGAGAUAAGACAGUUUAAAGGCUAAAUACCUUAAAGAACCUUGACUUAAUGCAGAAAUUGAAGGUGCUGCAUCAGAUGAGCUAGUUAAGAAGUUUGUCAACUCUGAACCUGACACAAAAGCAAUCCACUGUGUCCUUUCCAGUCCUGGAAGAGCAAACACCACUUCACUGUUUUCUCUACUUGGAUCUGGAAGCCUGUCCUCUGCAAAUGCUGGACAAAUUUCUCAAACGUCUGUCAUUCUCCACCACAAGCCCAGACUCCCUAAUGUGAUAACAUGAAUAUGAAGAGGACCGCCUGUAAAUUCUACUGAAAUUCAAUCAAGGAAAAUAAACUGCAGGCAUCUGCUCUUUGAUUUGGUACUGUUUAGGUGUUUUCCCUUGGUCUGCAUAAAAAUGCUUAAGUAGCUUGAAUAAAUGCCAACCCAAUAUUUCAGCAUCUGAUUGGCUAAAUAACCAUGUGAACAAUGGCAAUGAGAAGGUAAAUGGGAAGGUGAAGGAUAUGGAUUAGCUGGCUACUGGUCCUCAUUCAAAAACUGCUGAUUAGUGAUCUCCUUUCAAAUCUGAUCAGAAAGGAACAUUGUUUUUAUUCAUUUAAGUAGGAGACAGUCACCUUUUAUGCUUCAAAAUAUAUGAGACAGCAUUUAUAAGAGUGUGACUCCUAUAAAAAAAUAUAUUAAUGGAUGGUGUCAGAAAAAUAAUACUUAGACCCUCCUUUAAGCAGUGAACACAUUCUCCUGUACUUUCCCUUAGUCCUAAAACUCCUUGAAUUAUAAUAGUAAGUCAAAUUCUUCCAUGGCGAAACUUUAUUGGUCUUGACAGACUUUACACCAAGUGUUUGUCUAGCACAGUAUUAAAUAGCCACCUUCUCAUACCCAAACACACAACCUCAAUGCUAAAAGGUAGCCAUGAUAGCAAGGAAUUCACAGUGCAAUUUUGCACUGUUAGAGGGGAAAUGCUGGUCCUCUCCAAGGCUGCAGCAGGCAGUGGCUACAUGCCAUGCGCUCUCAUCCAGGUGUUGGGUUCUCAUUAUCACAAAGCAUUAUCACAAACCCACCUCACUGGUGCUUUUAAUAGUUAGGGCCGAAAUUUGGAUCUGUAGUCUUGCUUUGCUGCUGCCUUACACUUGUGAUACCUAAAGGGCACAAGUGCUGAACACUGUCACAGUGGAACUCCCUAAAUGCUUAAAGGUCUGGCCUAGAUUCACAAAUUGUCUAGCUUCCCUCUGCAACUGAUUUGUAAGAAUGCUCCAGUGCUGCUUAUUGUACUGGGCUUCACAUGGAGCAUCUCUGGAAGUGCUGACAUGUCUGUCUCUAUCUCAUUCCUGUUUUAAUCAUUCACCUACUAAUUAUAACUCAGACUUUAUGGUGAUGAUGGGAAGGAUUUAACUUUCCUCAUCUUUCUGAAGUGAUUUGAACCUGGGAUUAACUACUGUGGACAGAAUGAAGAUGUUCUCUUUCCCUCUGUUAACACUUCUGUUUUAUGUGGAAUAAAUAAAUGUGCAUCAUGCCAGAUAAUAAGCAUGAUACAGGAAUGCUUGGGGCA